AUGAGUCAGGCCGGUGGAACAACAACAGCAGGCGGUGGUGGAGGGGGUUCAGUUUGUCUGGAUUCAGGCGAAGACAAGACUAAAGCCACCACAUUACAAGGCGAGACAGGUCAGGGAGAAGGCAAGGGUGAGGAUGCUCCUAUCUCGGAUGAGCAAGAUCUUAACAAUGCGAACAUUGAAGGAUGGACAAGGAGAGAACGGAAUCGACAGGGCGGUGCAUCCAGGAAACCAAGUUCAGACAGAUGCAGUCAGAUGGAGAUAGCACUUGGGAAUGCUGGGAAGAUUGGGCAGGAAGUUGUUUUUCAACCAUUUAAAGGGAUGCAAUUCGACUCAGAGAAGGAUGCAUACAAAUUUUUCAAUGCAUAUUCUUGGGAAAUUGGUUUUGGUAUCAAGCAUGGCAAUAAAUACAUAAACAAGAACGGAUUCAAGACGAUGCAGGACCUUUUGUGUUCAUGCGAGGGAACUCACAAAAAAUUCAACUCUAGGUCUAGUAGAACAAACUGCCCUGUGAUGGUUAGAUUGCUUCGCACAGAGGACGACGGAUGGUACUACGGAGAGGUGGUAUUAGAACACAACCACGAGUUGGCAGCUAGUGUAGGUGAAAGAAGGUUAUGGAAGUGUCACAAGUAUGUCGACUCAUCUAUGAAGGACAUUGUUAGGCACUUGCGUUCUAACAAUGUUUCACUGACCAAGGUAUAUGGGGUGAUGGCUGACAUUCAUGGUUCACAUGAUGACGUUCCAUUCCGUAAAAGGUCUCUCAAAUCCAUGUGUGCUUCCAUAGCUCACGAAUGUAGUCAAGAUGAUAUCAAUAAGACACUGGAUUUAUUCACAAGCAUGCAGGCAGAAGAAACUGGAUUCUUUUUCGCAGUUAAAACAGAUGAGGAAAGAAGGGUGUCUGGUCUGUUUUGGUGUCAUCAAAAGAGCAGGGCUGAUUACAGUUGCUUUGGAGAUGCCGUGACAUUCGACACGACUUACAAGAGCAACCUCUAUGAGAUGCCAGUUGGACUAUUUGUUGGAGUCAAUAACCAUUAUCAAUGCUGCCUGUUUGGUUGUGUUUUUCUGCGUGAAGAGACUGUAGAGUCAUUCAAGUGGGCAUUUGAAACAUUCCUAUCAGCAAUGGACAACAAACCGCCAAAAACAAUAUUAACUGACCAAAGCAGGCAAAUGGAUCUUGCUAUUGCUCACGUGAUGAAUUCAUCAAAACAUGUUUGGUGCAAAUGGCAUGUUUUAAAGAAGAUGAGGGAGAAAGUAGGGAGCAUGUACAGGAAUGGUACUCCUUUUAGGAACGAUUUCAACAUUCUAAUAAAUGAGAUGAUGACAGUUGAGGAGUUCGAAAAGGAAUGGCAGGAGAUCAUGACACAUUAUGGACUUGAAAAAAUUCAUUUUUGCAUCAGGUUUAUGAUUGUCGUUUCAAAUGGGCCAAGCCUUACCUCAAGGGAGACUUUUGUGCCAAAAUGUGCAGCACACAAAGAAGCGAGUGCAUGA
rnacentral:rRNA from 1 species